rnacentral:misc_RNA from 1 species
AGCUAGAAUCUGACAUCUGAGUGGUCUUGAGAUGUGAUUGGUUACUUUCUCUUGUAUCAUUCCUCUCUCCAGAUUUGUUUCUCACUAAAUUAAUGUGGUUAUCCAUUUUAGUAAUAAUGCUUGCAGUUCGGUCAAUAAUGUUAGGCCCCUUGCCACUUGCAGGUUCACGACUAGAAAGGAUAAGCUCUCCCUCACUUUUCACUUGAGUCUCUGAUUCAACAGCCAAUAGCCAUGCUCUAGUUUCAAUUUCUCUCAAAAGAUGCAAGGGACAAACUGGGCUGCAUUGAG